CCUACGAGAGGCUGCAGUGAGGAAUAUUGGUCAAUGGGCGCAAGUCUGAACCAGCCAUGCCGCGUGCAGGAAGACGGCUCUAUGAGUUGUAAACUGCUUUUGUACGAGGGUAAACGCAGAUACGCGUAUCUGUCUGAAAGUAUCGUACGAAUAAGGAUCGGCUAACUCCGUGCCAGCAGCCGCGGUAAUACGGAGGAUUCAAGCGUUAUCCGGAUUUAUUGGGUUUAAAGGGUGCGUAGGCGGUCGGAUAAGUUAGAGGUGAAAUCCCGAGGCUCAACUUCGGAAUUGCCUCUGAUACUGUUCGGCUAGAGAGUAGUUGCGGUAGGCGGAAUGUAUGGUGUAGCGGUGAAAUGCUUAGAGAUCAUACAGAACACCGAGUGCGAAGGCAGCUUACCAAGCUACUUCUGACGUUGAGGCACGAAAGCGUGGGGAGCAAACAGGAUUAGAUACCCCGGUAGUC
rnacentral:rRNA from 1 species